rnacentral:lncRNA from 1 species
GACACCAUGUAAACCCCCCAUCUACCCUUACACAUAUCCAGAAGGAAAAAUAGGAGAUGCCAAAGCCGUCGGCCACCGAUGAGAGAGAGAGAGAGAGAGCGCGAUCGCGAAUGAACAACAUCGCGGGCGAAGUCCUCACGCAGUCCCCCAUACUCCAGCCAUAACAAUGACGGUCGACAACGAGUUCGUGUGAGGACCGCGCAACGGCUAGGGUUUCACGGGAUCAACAAGUAAUGAAGGUGGUAGCUACGAUUUUGAGACACGACGACAGCUUUGAGAAAGCACAUCGCCUUCCAGCUCUGCUCGUCGCUCUUUGGUUCCCGGGAAUGUAACGCACCGCACCGCACCGCAUCGCCAACGUCCAGUUUAUCUGUGAAUAUACUCGCAAAGGUUGAUGAACUAAUCAAGGACAAGACUGAAACGGAGAAGGGCAGGUUCUGGUGCAAAAGAGCAAAAACGAGUAAUAUGGGAAUGAUCAGCCAGUCGGGCAGAGUAGAAUGCCAGAGACCGAAUUAAAAUUGCCGCUAUUUUUCUUGAUUGGAUAAAGACGAAUAAGAGGAGGCUGCCAUAAAAAAAAGCAAUAUCAUCGAGCCGCACAUAAUUCACGUAGGAGGGCUCUAUGUCACACCCCAACCAAUGGCGGAAACAUCGGGAUGAGACGAAGUGUGAAGAUUGCUAGAGACAUCAUAACGCUAUUUGUGACAAUAUUUAGAAAAUCCAAAUUUCAUU